rnacentral:lncRNA from 1 species
GCUGGCGAAGGCACCCUCACUCCGGAGUAGAGGGCGCCAGGGUCUUAACCUGCUUCUCAGUAAACAAAGUGGCGGUCUAGCCAGACUCACUCUGUGCUGCCCCACACAUAGAGAAGCAGAAUGAGCGAGUCGGUCUCAAAGUCCAGCCAGCCCCUGGCCUCCAAGCAGGAAAAGGAUGGGACUGAGAAGCGAGGCCGGGGCAGGCCGCGCAAGCAGCCUUCGAAGGAGCCCAGUGAAGUGCCAACCCCGAAGAGACCCCGGGGCCGGCCGAAGGGAAGCAAGAACAAGGGCACAGCCAAGACGCGGAAAGUUACCACAACUCCGGGGAGGAAACCAAGGGGCAGACCCAAGAAACUGGAGAAGGAGGAAGAGGAGGGCAUCUCCCAGGAGUCCUCGGAGGAGGAGCAGUGACCACUUGCAGUGCCGCCUGCUCCUUGGCCACUGAGGAGCGGCCUUCCCCUGGGACUGGAAGCCCUGCUCCCAGGCCCCGCCCCGCCCCCACUGCACACUACCGCACCAGGCACCAGCUGCAGGCUCUGCGGCACCCACGGGAGCAGGAUUUGGCUCAGUCCCUGUGCCCUCCUCCCCAACACACCUGCCCCCUCCUGACAAGGUUAACUUCCCAUCAAGCCGCAGCCCAGCCUGCUGCGUGCCUCCCUCAGAGCCCUCGCUCUUAGCUCUCCGGGCGCUU